UACAGAGGUCCCGAGCGUUGUUCGGAUUCACUGGGCGUAAAGGGUGCGUAGGUGGCUGGGAAAGUUUGAUGUGAAAGCUCAGGGCUUAACCCCUGAAAUGGCAUUGAAUACUGCCUGGCUGGAGGUUUGGAGGGGGGGACUGGAAUUCUUGGUGUAGCAGUGAAAAUGCGUAGAUAUCAAGAGGAACACCAGUGGCGAAGGCGAGUCCCCUGGGACAAACACCUGACACU
rnacentral:rRNA from 1 species